UACGUAGGGUGCAAGCGUUGUCCGGAAUUUAUUGGGCGUAAAGAGCUCGUAGGCGGUUCGUCGCGUCGGCUGUGAAAUCCCGAGGCUCAACCUCGGGUCUGCAGUCGAUACGGGCGGACUGGAGUUCGGCAGGGGAGACUGGAAUUCCUGGUGUAGCGGUGAAAUGCGCAGAUAUCAGGAGGAACACCGGUGGCGAAGGCGGGUCUCUGGGCCGAUACUGACGCUGAGGAGCGAAAGCGUGGGGAGCGAACAGG
rnacentral:rRNA from 1 species